UAUAAUAUGUAUACAUUUUGUUGAAAUACUGUGAUUAGGACUUAAUAUAUUUGCACACUGAAGUGGCAGAAGUUUCUUGGCAUGUUCAGGAAUGUAAGCCAUCGUUUUCCACAUACUUUAAAGCUGUGAUCUCCAAACUUCAUCCUGUUCCAAAUAGAAAAGUCAGAAAAUAUUUUUUGACAAUGGACUUCAAUCAAGGCAGGAUUUUUAAAGAUGGAACUUGCCAAACCAUCUGCUUGUGACCAUUGUUAAGAAUUAAGAUACAUUAGAUGGACCUUACUGAGUUUGACCAAAUAAUGCCACUUUUAUCUUCAUGGUUAAUGCAAAAAUAGACAGUGCUUCUGAACUGCUACAGCAUUUCUGA